GUUGAAGUUUAAGAGUCGUGAUAAUAUUGGCAUUAAAACAUAUUAUCACGUAGUAAAACUUCGAAAAGCAAAGGAGGCUUCUGUUUAUAUAUAUACAUAUGCAUUAUCGUUUUUAAAUAAUGACAAAUGUUUUAUUUGUUUUUUUAUUUUAAAUGAUAAUUGUUUAUGCAUAUACAAAAUAUUUUAGCUUCAUUUCUUCUUUUUUCAUUUUGAAUAAUGAAGGAAGCUACCAAAUUAUAGAGCCCUAUAAAAAUA